GAGAACAAGGUUCUGAUGUCACCAUGACUUAACACUUCAAGUAGUGAUGUCAUUAUCUAUUUUGAAUUAGUAUAUUAUUGAUCCAUUCUGUCUUUUUCUGCUAACGUACUGUAUAAUUACAGGAUUCAGUCCUGAAGCGCCAUCAUUUUCUGCCUCCUUUACUGUUGGACUGGUUGUUAGACUUUCAAUGAUUGUUUUCCUGCAGCUGCUGUUGUUGUGUGUUUGGAGAAACAUGAAAGGUGAGACUGUGUAAAUUCUGUCUAAGACUUGAUGAAGCUCUGGAGCAGUUUGAGUAUAAAUCUACAUAAUAACUCUACUGUCUCCUCUCGUUUUAGCUGUAACAAUAAUUUCCAUUUUCACAGCACACAGAAGUGUGAGCACUGAUCAAAGCUCUGCUACACAGCAAACAGUCAACCAGCUUGAACCUCAGCUUUACUCCUCUCUGCUCCACGAUGAUGUUUGUGUCUAUGAAUCAGUCGGAGGCUCUGGAAACAAUGAUGAAUGUGGUACAGUAUAAUAUCUGAUUAAUGCAGAGAUUAUAUGACACUAAAUACUAAAACAGAUGUGACUUGAUGAUUUCAGAGGAACCAACAGAUGAACCCAGUAAAACUACAGUGCUGCUUCAUAGUCAAUGUCCUGACAACAUAAAUACACAAAAGCUUCAUCCAAUGAUAGAUCAUAGUAAUAAUUGGGUUACAGCUGUGGAAACCUUUAAUAAACUUUUGCAUCUUUACAGGGACACAUGAUGAUACAGAGGAAGAUCAUGAUUACAACAACGUGGAUCCAAAUGCAGCCACAGAUUCAUAAAGAGAAGUUGAUCAAAGCAAGAACCACAAGACAACAACGUUCUGUUAAGACAAUGCUGAGACUGUUUACGGCAUUUAUAAAGUUACUGUUUAACAUAUGAGGACGUGUUUUUAGUGGUUGUGGCCCCAGAGCCAGAAGGAGCCCGGGGGUCUCUGCUGUUUCCAUGGUAACAAAAUAAUGGCUGGCUGCAGCCCCAGCUUUGUCAUUUCAUGUGUCAUAAUAUAAUGUAUGUUUGCUGUUUAUAUUGUUGAAGUGUGAUUCAUUAUGUUUAUUUGAAUAUAGUCUGAAACAUUAUUAUGUUCAGCAUAUUGAUGUUAAAGUUCAUCACCUGGUGGAUGGAAGUUACUUUAGGUGCUUUUUGUUUCUUUCUGUUAUUUUUAGCUUUGGACUAUUGACAAAUAUAUUUUAGAUUUACUGGAUAACGUUACGUAUGUUAAUGAUGUUAAUUGAAGUAUGGCUUGUGAUCUGACUGAGUGGAUCUGUAAAUAACCUACACACAAGCAGUGAAGUAAACACCAUAUAAAAUAUAAUAUGAUGCAGUUUUCAAACACAUUUUGAAUCUAUUGAUAUAAAUACUUUCUAUGUAACUCUCCUCAUUGUGGUCGCUGAGUGACUGAGUGACUGGUUUGUAUUUCCUCACUCUGUUUAAACCAGAAAACUCCACAACGGCUCCUGCCUCAGGACGUACCAACGUUUACUAAUGACUCACUGAGCUUUUCUUUUUGUCAUUAUUACUUACAAGUCGACCAUUUAAUCUUAAAUUAUAUGGAGACAAUGAGGAGAAAGAAAUUAAAGAUGUCUUGUUCUCAUCCGGUGUUGUGAUAUUUUACCUUGGUUUCUCUUGCUUGGAUACUUUGUCUUUUUAUCUCUGUACAUUCUGUAUUAUUCUGUAUUAUUAACCAUCAGCAGAUAGAAGCCAACAGUUGGUUUAUGGGUUAUUGUAUAAUUGUGAUGCAUGUUUUAUUUCGCUGUUAACGUUAUCGCUGAGCGUGUUUUAGAACCAUCCCUGCUUUAUUCCUGCUUCAACUGUGGCUCAUUUUCCACAUCCAAAUCUUCCAUUGAUGUGUGUCAUUAGUGAGGCCUGGUAGCUCAGUGGACAUCGGCCAGAGAAAGGAAAGCUUCCUGGUUCCAGCCCUGCCGCUGACACUUCACACUAGCUCCCCAGGUGUGUGUGUGGCAGCCCACUGCUGGGUUAAAUGCAGAGGACACAUUUCAUUGUGUGACAAGUGAUGAAUAAAGUUUCAUUACUGGGUCCA